GCCUCCCUCGCCCUGGACCCCCAGCCCAGCCGGACGGGGAUGCAAGCUGUGCCCGCACCCAUGGGGGCUGCUGAGUGGACAGAGGAUGUGGUGGGCGACCGGGGUACCCCCCGGAGCCGUGGGGAAGACAUGACAGGAAGCCUUCCCAGAGCCCCAGUCCCAAUCAGCUUCCUCACCAGACACUCCGCCCGGAGGCCCUUGUCCCCUUUUCAGCACAUUCCUGCGCGUGAUCACACAUGAAUCUGGAGAGGUGGCUGACGACUCGCCCACUCUUAAAGCAUCUCUUCUGUGAUCCGAAACGUUGGGGGGACGUUACCAGCGAGCAGGACGAUCUUCCAGACCACCCAUUUCGGAGCGGCGAGCCAGCCUGGCCAAGGG